rnacentral:lncRNA from 1 species
GGAGAAGAAAGAAGAAGGAGGAGAAGAAGAAGAAGCAGAAAGGAGAAGAAGAAAAAUAAGAAGAAGAAGGAAAAGAAGAAGAAGGAAAAGGAAGGGAAGGAGAAGAAAGAAGAAGAAGAAGAAAAAUCGGAGAGGAAUAGAAGAAUAAGAGGAAAAAAGAAAAUAAUAAUAAUAAUAAUAAUAAGAAGAAGAAGAAGAAGAAGAAGAAGAAGAAGAGAAGAAGAAAACAAGAAGAAGGAGAGGAAGAAUAAGAGGAAAAAGAAAAAAGAAAA